rnacentral:lncRNA from 1 species
CGUGCCCCAUUCGUCUGUGGAUGUGGCGAUCUCGGAGAAGCCUUAAGAAGAGUCCGUGAAGGUGCUGCUAUGAUUAGGACCCAAGGGGAUCUAUUAGGUACAGGUAACAUUGUGGACACAGUUCGCAAUGUGAGGAAAGUGAUGGGAGAUGUUAGAGUUUUAUCAAACAUGGACGAAGAUGAGGUUUUCACUUUUUCAAAAAAGAUCUCCGCGCCUUAUGAUAUUGUCGCACAAACGAAGCAGAUGGGUAGACUUCCGGUGGUACAUUUUGCAGCUGGUGGUAUCGUGACCCCAGCGGAUGCAGCGCUCAUGAUGCAGCUGGGUUGUGAUGGCGUGUUUUUGGGACCUGAUAUAUUUAACUGCUCGGAUCCUUAUAAGAAAGUUAGGGCGAUUGUGCAGGCUGUUAGAAACUAUAAUGAUCCUCAUAUUUUGGCUGCGGCAAGCAGUGGCUUGGAGGAAGCAAUGGGUGGUUUAAAUUUGAACGAGAACAGGGUCGAGCGAUUUGUUAGUGCAGAAGAGACUUAUUGAUGAGACUAUUGGUUAGCUUGUCUUAUUUGUCUGUUGUUUUAUCAUAUUAUUAUGUAUUUUUCAGUUCUGUAUUUGUGAGCGGUGUUAUCUUUCUUGGUUUACUUUUGCAAUAACAUGAUGAUGAGUUAAGCAUAGCAUAUCUUGUCCUUGUUCACAUGCUUGUGACACAAAAUGAAAAUGGUAACAUUGAUUAUAGUUGACUUGAAAUGAAAUGACUGUGGCUACUACAUUGUGGAGGCACGUUCAUUAAUUU